CGAGACAACUCUGGAGAACAGCGCGAUCGCAUGUUUCGCGCUUACCGAAGGGGACAGGCGCUACGCGCUAAAGCUCUCAGGUUUCAGGACAGAGCGGGGAGG
rnacentral:ncRNA from 1 species